rnacentral:lncRNA from 1 species
GGUUGGGCAAGACAGCGUCGGCUGUUAACUGUCCCAGGGGCCUGGCUCCGGCCGCUGUCACCUCGCCAGGGUCGAGAGCGUGGGGCUGCGCCGGGGAGCGGCUGCCAGCUCUGGGACCCCUGGACGUGGACAGAGAAUGCACCGGAAGGGCCGGAAGCUGGGCUCCAGCCGCCGGCGGCAGAUGAGAGAGCCGGCCGACGGCCAGGAUGCCCUGGGCAACCCAGGGCCCGAGUCCUGGUCCUCAGAGGCCGAAGCAGAGCUGCAGACCUUCUUCCAGGACUGUGGUGCCAAGGACAGAGGCUUUGUCACCCGCGAGGACCUGGCGGAGGCCAAGUUCCGCUUCCUGGGCAGCGAGGAGGAGCCACAGAUGAUCUUUGACUGGCUG